AUGCACGCUGGCGGCGUGCCUCAUACAUGCAAGUCGCGCGAACGGACGAGAAGCUUGCUUCUCUGAUGUUAGCGGCGGACGGGUGAGUAACACGUGGAUAACCUACCUAUAAGACUGGGAUAACUUCGGGAAACCGGAGCUAAUACCGGAUAAUAUUUUGAACCGCAUGGUUCAAAAGUGAAAGACGGUCUUGCCGUCACUUAUAGAUGGAUCCGCGCUGCAUUAGCUAGUUGGUAAGGUAACGGCUUACCAAGGCAACGAUGCAUAGCCGACCUGAGAGGGUGAUCGGCCACACUGGAACUGAGACACGGUCCAGACUCCUACGGGAGGCAGCAGUAGGGAAUCUUCCGCAAUGGGCGAAAGCCUGACGGAGCAACGCCGCGUGAGUGAUGAAGGUCUUCGGAUCGUAAAACUCUGUUAUUAGGGAAGAACAUAUGUGUAAGUAACUGUGCACAUCUUGACGGUACCUAAUCAGAAAGCCACGGCUAACUACGUG
rnacentral:rRNA from 1 species